CACUUACUAGAAGACUCUGGAAGCCCAUGUCCAACACACCGAACAAUACAGCUUGAGUCCUGUGUUGAGUUACAAAACAAGAAACUGCCGAAUUCUGCACAAUUCACUGCCCUUUCAGAAAGCAGAAUCCAUUCCUUAGGCUUCAUGGUAUGUGUGUGUUCUGUACUGUCAAGUCAGAACCAACUUAUAGCGACCCUAAUAGGGCUUUCAAGAAAGAAGCAGAAGAAGAAACCUUAUAUUCUCCCUUGGUUCCAGCUGAAUCCCUGGGUCAAAGCUGGCCAAGACGCAGCACCAGGUGGCACAACACACCCAUUCCACACUGGCACAACUUGCCUGCACAGAAGCUGUGGCAGCUGCCCCAGAGAGCUGGUCUUCUGUCGGCUCAGUGCUGAGCUGGCAAUUUUAAUGAAAACGGCUUCCCUGGGACAGUAGGUUCACCAUCAAAGGGUGACACUCCCUGGGAAGCCCUUAGGGAAGUUCUGCACGGGUACCACUUUGUGCAAUGAACUUCUUGCAUAGACUUUGCUGUGCCUCGACUUGUGAUUUCACAGAGUUAGAGAUCCCACAGUGGACAAGACAUCGCAUACUCUGUCUAAUCUGGCUGUAUGAUGCCAUCAUUCAAGGUAACUGCAGCAGUGGGUAAGCAAAGAUGUUGGCACAGAGUGCUGAAAGUGUUUUCCUUCUAGCUCUUGUUCCUUUUCUGAUUGAGGCUGAAUGUCAUCUGGACCGGAGUGACUUCAGAUGUAGCAGCAUCUGUCAUAAUGUAUAAUGAUCUCCAACCACAUUGAUCGCCAACAUUAUUCAGCUGUGAAGUUCUCUUUUUUUUCUGCAUUUCUUUCCCCAUUUUUUUUAAAUCAAUGAUCA